rnacentral:rRNA from 1 species
UACGAAGGGGGCUAGCGUUGCUCGGAAUUACUGGGCGUAAAGCGCACGUAGGCGGAUUGUUAAGUCGGGGGUGAAAUCCCGGAGCUCAACUCCGGAACUGCCUUCGGUACUGACGAUCUUGAGUCCGGGAGAGGUGAGUGGAACUGCGAGUGUAGAGGUGAAAUUCGUAGAUAUUCGCAAGAACACCAGUGGCGAAGGCGGCUCACUGGCCCGGUACUGACGCUGAGGUGCGAAAGCGUGGGGAGCAAACAGG